rnacentral:rRNA from 1 species
CCUACGGGAGGCAGCAGUCGGGAAUAUUGCGCAAUGGAGGAAACUCUGACGCAGUGACGACGCGUUCAGGAAGAAGGUUUUCGGAUUGUAAACCGCUGUAGACAGGGAAGAAAAAAGACAGUACCUGUUGAAUACGCUCCGGCUAACUACGUGCCAGCAGCCGCGGUUAUACGUAGGGAGCAAGCGUUGUCCGGAUUUAUUGGGUGUAAAGGGUGCGUAGACGUCGAAGCAAGUUAGAUGUGAAAGCACUCGGCUUAACUGAGGAACUGCAACUAAAACUACUUCCCUUGAGUACUGGAGAGGAAAGUGGAAAUCCUAGUGUAGCGGUGAAAUGCGUAGAUAUUAGGAGGAACACCAGUGGCGAAGGCGACUUUCUGGACAGUAACUGACGUUGAGGCACGAAAGUGUGGGGAGCAAACAGGAUUAGAUACCCGUGUAGUC